rnacentral:rRNA from 1 species
GAGUAACGCGUAUGCAACCUGCCCUUCACAGGGGGAUAACCGGGAGAAAUUCCGACUAAUACCGCAUACGUCCUCCGGGGGCAUCCCUGGGGGAUGAAAGAGUUAUCGGUGAAGGAUGGGCAUGCGUGAUAUUAGGUAGUUGGCGGGGCAACGGCCCACCAAGCCCACGAUAUCUAGGGGUUCUGAGAGGAAGGUCCCCCACAUUGGUACUGAGACACGGACCAAACUCCUACGGGAGGCAGCAGUGAGGAAUAUUGGUCAAUGGACGAGAGUCUGAACCAGCCAAGUCGCGUGAAGGAAGACGGAUCUAUGGUUUGUAAACUUCUUUAGUGCGGGAACAAAGCGGCGUCGAGACGCCUGAUGAGUGUACCGCAAGAAUAAGCAUCGGCUAACUCCGUGCCAGCAGCCGCGGUAAUACGGAGGAUGCGAGCGUUAUCCGGAUUUAUUGGGUUUAAAGGGAGCGCAGGCUGCGAGGCAAGUCAGCGGUCAAAUGUCGGGGCUCAACCCCGGCCUGCCGUUGAAACUGUCCUGCUAGAGUUCGAGUGAGGUAUGCGGAAUGCGUUGUGUAGCGGUGAAAUGCAUAGAUAUGACGCAGAACUCCGAUUGCGAAGGCAGCAUACCAACUCGCGACUGACGCUGAGGCUCGAAAGCGUGGGUAUCGAACAGGAUUAGAUACCCUGGUAGUCCACGCAGUAAACGAUGAAUACUAACUGUUCGGAGGGCGACCUCUGAGUGGUAAAG